UCCCCGAUAGCUAAGUUGGUAGAGCCAAUGACUGUUAAUCAUUGGGCCCUUGGUUCGAGCCCAAGUUGGGGAGCCA
rnacentral:tRNA from 1 species